UAGUUCAGCACUGAUAUGAAUGGUCUAA
rnacentral:piRNA from 1 species